rnacentral:sRNA from 1 species
UGAUCCCUUUGGCCAUCUUCGGUCUUAAACUUAGCUAAAAUUUUCUCCACGUAUGUGGAGG